rnacentral:misc_RNA from 1 species
CGCACAUUGCGCCCGCCAGUAUUCUGGCGGGCAUGCCUGUCUGAGCGUCAUUUCAACCCUCGCGACCGGUUUUCCGCAAGGGAGCCGGACGCGGUGUUGGGGAUCGGCCCCCCCUGAAAAAGGGAGCCGGCCUCUAAAUACAGUGGCAGCGCUAUAGUGGCCUCCCCUGCGUAGUAGCAAUAUCUCGCAGGCGGAUCUAGGUUCUUGGCCUCGCCGUACAACUUCGCCAGCUAACCCCCCCCGGUAGCAGGUGUGUUUUCUUAUGGUUGACCUCAGAUCAGGUAGGAAUACCCGCUGAACUUAA